UCCUUUCCUUCCCAUCGACUCUCUGCUCUGUAACUGACUCAUUUCAAAUUUGGUGGUUGCAGGCUUAUGCUAAAUUAAGGCUGGUUGGCUAUAUCGAAUUGCUCGUCAAUUUCCUCAUUAACAGACUGCAAACUGAUAACAUACUGAGUACCUGUGUAUUGUAAUAUAUGUUUAUUUUUUCUUUGCAUUUCUUUGGUUUUUGUUUUCUUUUUGUGGUUUUGUGUUUUGUGUUGUUGUUGUGAAUUACAGGUUUUAUUUCAAUUGUAAACAAUGAAGAAGGCUUUUGGGUCACCUCAAACACCAAGCAUCAGUACUCUUUCCAGAAGGCCUAAGAUCACACGUCCUCUGCGAAAGCAAUUGGCAACUCCAACACAAAAUGGGGACAGGUUUAUUGCUAACAGAAGUUCCAUAGAUUUUGAUUGGGCUCGGUAUCUGGUAAAUAAAAGCAAUAUCAUUGGAAAUAAAGCCUCCAUGGAAGAAUAUGACAGGGAGCCAGCAGCUAGUUUGGUGAUGGAUUCUAGUAAGAUAUCAAGGAUUUUGAGCUUUAGUAGAAAGCCCUCUGGACAGGGCUUGCAAUCCAUCUACUCCGAAGCUCCUUCUGUUGAUACUAGAGUCAGAACUAGCAGAUCACGGAGCCGCUACAUACCUCAACAUGCAGAGAGAACUUUGGAUGCCCCAGAUCUUGUUGAUGAUAAUCAUUUGAAUCUGCUGGAUUGGAGUGAUAGCAAUAUUUUGUCUAUAGCACUUGGCAAUGCAGUUUACUUAUGGGAUGCAAACACAAGCACUACUUCUGAGCUAUUGACAGUAGAUAAUGAUGUUGGUCCAGUAAGCAGUGUCAAUUGGGCACCUGAUGGAAAACACAUUGCCAUUGGAUUGACUAGUUCUUCUGUACAGAUAUGGGACUCCACAUGUAAUCGACAUUUGAGAUCCUUGAAAGGUCAUCAUGGCCGUGUAGGCUCACUUUCCUGGAAUGACACUAUUCUUGCAACUGGUGGUAGGGACAGUUCAAUAAUUAUCCAUGAUGUCCGUAUCCGUAAUUCCAAUGUUAAGACAUACAGAGGCCAUGAGCAGGAAGUUUGUGGAUUGAAAUGGUCCUUAUCUGGCCAGCAACUUGCAAGUGGAGGCAGUGACAACUUGCUUCACAUCUGGGACAAGAGCAUGUCAUCCUCUAAUGUUAGAAAUCAGUCUCUUCACAGGAUUGAUGAACAUUUUGAUGCAGUUAGAGCCUUGGCAUGGUGCCCUUUCCAGCACAAUCUUUUGGCAUCUGGUGGAGGUCUUGCAGACCAAUCUAUUAAGUUAUGGAAUAGUCUUACUGGAGCAUGCCUAAAUACCAUUGCCACCAACUCUUCAGUUUGUGCGUUGUUGUGGAAUAGGCAUGAGUGUGAGCUUUUGAGUUCACAUGGGUAUAGUGAGAACCAAUUGACCUUAUGGAAAUACCCAUCUAUGGCAAAGACUGCAGAACUUACUGGCCAUACUUCUAGGGUGCUGCAUCUGGCACAGAGCCCAGAUGGGUAUACUGUUGCAUCGGCUGGAGCAGACGAGACACUAAGGUUUUGGCAAGUCUUUGGAAUUCCUGAUACCUCACAGAGUACCAAAACUAAAGAGCUAGAGGGUACCCUCAACUCUUAUCUUAUGCAUAUUCGCUAGUAGUCAAUUGAUGCAAUGGAACAAGAAAAUUUACACUUCAGGUUAAGGAUUCAUCUUCAACAAUCAAAUGCCUGGUUAGGAACGAGUUUGGGACGGGAUAUGCAUUUAUUAUCUGCUGCUCGGAGCAUCAUCUGCAAAGGAGGAAAACCACUUAUUCUCCAACCAAGAAGAGCUUUGCAUUUUCAAUGUUUUCUCAGAGUACAAAAGUGAGGGAAUCUCAAGUGAGGAGAGCUACAAUUUCUCUAAAGCGAAGCAAUUUCUUUCUCCUCUUCAAAUAAUAGGUUUGAUGUUCAAUGAGAGUCUCUUCUUGUAAAGGGAGAAAUUAACCUCCUCAGCCAAGAAUGGAUUUAACAUACCCUUGGUAUGUUCUAGGCAAAUUUUUAACUUCAUCGUUUUUUAACCCUUUCAUUCCAGUUUCAUCUUAAGUAUUGUAAUAUUUCAUUACUUUAUCUAAUCUGUUUUUGUUGGAAUUUUGUAGCUUAGUGCACCCAUGGAAGUGCCUAUGUUUUUUCAUAGGCGUUUUUAAACGCCGCCAAUGUUGAGGAAGUCCAAAAAUCUUGAAGCUUUUUACCUUAAAAUGGUUACAUAUUGUCUUUCCCUUUCUUAAGAAAAGUUAAAUUUAAGUUAAAAGUCUUACUGCACUCUUAGUGAUUGCAGUACCUGAACCACAGGCUAAACAGAAGGUAUCCAAGCAUUAGAGAGCCUGUGUGACAUUAUACUCUUCUUCAAGAGAGUGACAAACUGGUUGUCAGCAAAAUGGUCAUAGUUUCGCCGAGAGGCGAUCUACAAUGGCAUCGAUGCUGUCCGACAACAAAAUUUCAUUUCAAGAAAAUUUUGACGUUUGCAUGCAGGUCUUCCAAAACAUAACAAGAUAGUUGGCAGUGGCAGCAAGGCAGUUUUCCGUUUGGCAGAAUCAUGAAACAUUUGCAUGUUUGGCAGAACGUUGCGAUAAAUAAAGAAUUGCAGAACCAUUUACUCUUACAGAACCGUUAUGACACAGAGUACCGUGUGGAAUGAGCAAAUCGAACAUAUGUUGCCCUAAAUAGAAUCUAAUGCCAACAAGGGUAGGGGAAGAGUGGUGACCUGCCAACAAUAAAUGAGAUCAGACAUCUAAUGGAGGAAUCGAUAACCUUAUAUAUGGGCAUGACAUUUCAAUUUCAAGAGCUACAAUUUGAUAUUCUCUGAGAAAAAUCUCCAUUUUUCAGGAUAGCAAUAGUACGCAAAUAAUCACCCAUUGUCUUCUGGAGCAACAAUAUCUUCCAUUCAUUAUGUGCAGGGGAUUGGAAGAAUUAGCAGGUUUCCACAUUCCCCUGGUAACACGCCAAGGGAAGCAUAAUCUUCUGCCAACUCUUACACAUCAGAAACGCAUCGCACAUAGGUAUGGCCAGGGCCUUUGUCCAACAAUAGAGUGAGCAUUCUGAAACAGAAGCAAUUGUACAGCCUCUAUCACUGCAAAAUGGAAAGACAUUGGCUUUUCAUCCAAAACAUUGGCUUUUUAUCCAAAAUUGUUGUUCAGGCUAGACAGUUGUGGACCUACAACCAGUUCUAGUAACUAUUGAGAGGUGGAAGAGGAUACAAUCAUUCGAAUGCUUUUGC